rnacentral:misc_RNA from 1 species
GUCAUAAUUAAAAUGCAAUAAGAUGUUCGCAAUCAUUCCUUUACUUCCAAAGUAUAACAAAUUCAAACACCAAUAUUUACAGAGGAGAGUUGAAUGUGGUCACAAUCACACGUUGCCAUUUCAUUCAACAGUUUGAAGAGCUUAUGGUACACUUCAGCGCACGCCACCACCAGCAGCAUUUCUCUAACUAUAGUUGUCAAGGUGGAGGAACCCUUACAUAUUUUAUUCUCAAUGCUCUUACCCUUGAAAGAAUCUUGAACAAACAACAUGGAAUAUUAAUAUAGUUCCCCUUAAAGUAACUGAAACAGGAAAAAAGAGUUAACACAUAUACAGUAACCGCAGAUUUUUCAUCUUUAUUUAUGCACUCAACACACAUAUAGGUAGACCAUUCAUCAACACAAUAAUAUCACGAGUUUGAUCCUUACAGAACUAAGACCAAACUUGAUAGUUCAAAUAUUAACAAGCACACAUAUAUUAUCCCUAACAAAAUAACACCAAAAAAAAGAAAAAAAAAAAUUCAACCAAAGCGACAUUCCUUAGGAGAUAUGAAGGCUCUUAUUCAGUCUUAUACGUAAAACAAACACCGGCAAGACAAUUACUGACCCAGAAUUCGCUUCUUGUAAAAUUCAACAAGCUCUUUAGGAUCUGUUUUUGUCUGCUUGUAAGCCCCAAGCUUGUUUAUCUCCUGCACAUGGAUUUUGUGAAAAGAAAAGUUACCAACCAACAAAUUAGCACUCUUGCCCAACAACCACUCACUCUUUUACAAGAUCCUUGUUUAAUAUUAGAAUUAAGCAGUACUUCAAAAUUUGUUCCAAUGUUGAGCUGUGCAGCAGCAAAUGAUUGUUCACAAGCUCAGGACAACAAGAAGAUGCUAAGAAUGAGCCUUGAUGAAACUCAAACAUAGAGAAGGUCUAGAACACUGAGUUGCAGAUAACGGAUGUCUUUGUACAGGAGGAAGAAGAAAGGUGGUUUCGUGCAUAUGCAAGGAGAAGCUCACCAACGGGUGUCUUUGUACUGGAGGAAGAAGAAAGGUGGUUGUGUGCAUAUGCAAAGAGAAGCUCACCAAGGGGGAAGAAAAUGGAUAACUGAGAGAAGAGAACAAAUUUUGACCCAAAAAAAAUAAAUAAAUAAAAGAGAGAGUGAGCGAGUGAGCUAACAAGUAAUCGGUGUACUAAGCUGGCACAUUAUUAAUGAGAAGAAAAAAAUUAAAAAGCCCUAAUCCAGAUCUAGUAAGCUAAUGAGCCACAGACAAGAAUCAAGCAUGAAGACAAAAUGAUUUGGCCUACAAGCUCCAAUCAAAUCAUCAACAUGAGAACAAAAUGCAAGGGUGAUUCAGCAUCAGAAACGUGCUGUUCUGGUCCAUUGCUCCACAUUAUAAAAUACAAGAGUGCAAAAAUCUAGCAAGUAUGGUAGUCCAUAAGUACUUGGUGGAUCAAGAAACCAAGCAAGGUAGAAACCACAAGCUCAAUAAGCUUAGAAGUAUUCCAAAUGCGAGAGCCGGACUAAUAAAUAUUCACAGAACACAACAUUAUAAAAAUAGUUCUUUGAAAUAUUUAAUGAUAGCCAAGGGAUGGUAAAAGCCGCAGAUAAUUACAUACAACUGAGUAUAUUUCGGGAAGGUAGAAUUACAAAAUCUCCUGACAUUUGGCAGAUAUACAAUUAAGUCUUUUCCUUUCAAAAUGAAUUAUAAAGUCCUUGACUUUUCAAAUUUGCCACACUUAAAUGAGAAAUUCUAAGAUCCCU